rnacentral:rRNA from 1 species
UACGGAGGGUGCAAGCGUUAUCCGGAUUUAUUGGGUUUAAAGGGUGCGUAGGCGGAAGAUUAAGUCAGUGAUGAAAUCCUGCGGCUCAACCGUAGAACUGUCAUUGAUACUGAUUUUCUUGAAUUCAGUUGAGGUAGGCGGAAUGUGUAAUGUAGCGGUGAAAUGCUUAGAUAUUACACAGAACACCGAUUGCGAAGGCAGCUUACUAAGCUGAAAUUGACGCUGAGGCACGAAAGCGUGGGGAGCAAACAGG